rnacentral:rRNA from 1 species
CCUACGGGAGGCAGCAGUGGGGAAUAUUGGGCAAUGGGCGCAAGCCUGACCCAGCAACGCCGCGUGAAGGAAGAAGGCUUUCGGGUUGUAAACUUCUUUUCUCAGGGACGAAGAAAGUGACGGUACCUGAGGAAUAAGCCACGGCUAACUACGUGCCAGCAGCCGCGGUAAUACGUAGGUGGCAAGCGUUAGCCGGAUGUAUUGGGUGUAAAGGGCGUGUAGGCGGGAGCGCAAGUCAGAUGUGAAAACUCAGGGCUCAACCCUGAGCCUGCAUUUGAAACUGUGUUUCUUGAGUGCUGGGGAGGCAAUCGGAAUUCCGUGUGUAGCGGUGAAAUGCGUAGAUAUACGGAGGAACACCAGUGGCGAAGGCGGAUUGCUGGACAGUAACUGACGCUGAGGCGCGAAAGCGUGGGGAGCAAACAGGAUUAGAUACCCCAGUAGUC